CCUACGGGAGGCAGCAGUGGGGAAUAUUGCGCAAUGGGCGAAAGCCUGACGCAGCGACGCCGCGUGAGGGAUGAAGGUCUUCGGAUCGUAAACCUCUGUCAGCAGGGAAGAACGGUCACUGUGCUAAUCAGCAGUGAAUUGACGGUACCUGCAAAGGAAGCACCGGCUAACUCCGUGCCAGCAGCCGCGGUAAUACGGAGGGUGCGAGCGUUAAUCGGAAUUACUGGGCGUAAAGCGCUCGUAGGCGGUAUGUCAAGUCAAGGGGGAAAUCCCCGCGCUCAACGUGGGAACUGCCUUUGAAACUGGCAAACUGGAGUGUGUGAGAGGAGAGUGGAAUUCCAGGUGUAGGAGUGAAAUCCGUAGAUAUCUGGAGGAACAUCAGUGGCGAAGGCGACUAUCUGGCACAUAACUGACGCUGAGGAGCGAAAGCGUGGGUAGCAAACAGGAUUAGAUACCCCAGUAGUC
rnacentral:rRNA from 1 species